UGCUAAAAUGUGGAUGUAUAUGAAAUAAGAGCAGUUCAUUGUGAAAAAAAACUAUUUCUUUUUAUUUCUCCAAGGAAUCUGCUAAAAAUCUUUGGUCAAAUACAUCAGCCUGUAGGAGACAUCAUGAUUGCCUGUCCGUCAUCCAUUCUACCUCUCACCCACUUGAUGGCAAUUUGGGUGGAGUUAACCUCACCCUGAGCUUCAGACUUGUGCCCUGUAGGUCUAAAUCCAUCAGGACAAUUCCAUUCAUGACUGUGUUAACCCAUGACCUUCCCCUGGACCAGAGCCUGAUUCAAUUGUGGAACCAUCAUCAAGAAGCAGGUCCAGACCACAUUCAUGGAGAGGAGAAAUGAGCUCCAUCUUCUGGAGAGAGAGAGGAAUAUCAAGGAGUUUGUGGGCAUUUGUUAAAAACACUGCAGUUCAUUAGUCAUUUGAAAUUCUUCUGUAAGGAAGAUUCAUCCCUUCUCUUCCAUUUAUCUAUUUCUUUAAUCAUUUGUUUAUAUCCGUAUGGACUCAUAGAUAUAUUAUUCUUUGGAUUAUAACCAACUUUUAUUUUUUUGCUCAAAUUGUUCCAGCUUUGUUGAUAUUUGGGUUGGCUAUUGUGUUGUUUUGACAUGUCCCCAAUCCUCCUCCAUUUUUUAGCAUUUCUUAUUUUCUAGCACUACAAAAUUCUGCAUGCUCAUUUCUCUGCCUCAGAUGUAAAAUUUCCAUUUUUCUAGGGAGCUCUGGUUCCUUCUUUGGAGAACUAUAUUUAGAAAAUCCGUUCUGGGGGAUUGGUGUGCCAUUCCUAUUUUUGGUAAUAGGUGACUCUGCUUUUAGGCCCUCUAGUGGACAGAGUUAAGAAAUACAUGCAUAUACACUAACCAUGUGUGCACACGUAUCUAUAUUUAUUGCUGUAUCUAUCUGCAUAUAUAUUAAAAUA